GGGUUGUGAGGUUAAGCGACUAAGCGUACACGGUGGAUGCCCUGGCAGUCAGAGGCGAUGAAGGACGUGCUAAUCUGCGAUAAGCGUCGGUAAGGUGAUAUGAACCGUUAUAACCGGCGAUUUCCGAAUGGGGAAACCCAGUGUGAUUCGUCACACUAUCAUUAACUGAAUCCAUAGGUUAAUGAGGCGAACCGGGGGAACUGAAACAUCUAAGUACCCCGAGGAAAAGAAAUCAACCGAGAUUCCCCCAGUAGCGGCGAGCGAACGGGGAGCAGCCCAGAGCCUGAAUCAGUGUGUGUGUUAGUGGAAGCGUCUGGAAAGGCGCGCGAUACAGGGUGACAGCCCCGUACACAAAAAUGCACAUGCUGUGAGCUCGAUGAGUAGGGCGGGACACGUGGUAUCCUGUCUGAAUAUGGGGGGACCAUCCUCCAAGGCUAAAUACUCCUGACUGACCGAUAGUGAACCAGUACCGUGAGGGAAAGGCGAAAAGAACCCCGGCGAGGGGAGUGAAAAAGAACCUGAAACCGUGUACGUACAAGCAGUGGGAGCACAGAGCAAUCUGUGUGACUGCGUACCUUUUGUAUAAUGGGUCAGCGACUUAUAUUCUGUAGCAAGGUUAACCGAAUAGGGGAGCCGAAGGGAAACCGAGUCUUAACUGGGCGUUAAGUUGCAGGGUAUAGACCCGAAACCCGGUGAUCUAGCCAUGGGCAGGUUGAAGGUUGGGUAACACUAACUGGAGGACCGAACCGACUAAUGUUGAAAAAUUAGCGGAUGACUUGUGGCUGGGGGUGAAAGGCCAAUCAAACCGGGAGAUAGCUGGUUCUCCCCGAAAGCUAUUUAGGUAGCGCCUCGUGAAUUCAUCUCCGGGGGUAGAGCACUGUUUCGGCAAGGGGGUCAUCCCGACUUACCAACCCGAUGCAAACUGCGAAUACCGGAGAAUGUUAUCACGGGAGACACACGGCGGGUGCUAACGUCCGUCGUGAAGAGGGAAACAACCCAGACCGCCAGCUAAGGUCCCAAAGUCAUGGUUAAGUGGGAAACGAUGUGGGAAGGCCCAGACAGCCAGGAUGUUGGCUUAGAAGCAGCCAUCAUUUAAAGAAAGCGUAAUAGCUCACUGGUCGAGUCGGCCUGCGCGGAAGAUGUAACGGGGCUAAACCAUGCACCGAAGCUGCGGCAGCGACGCUGAUGCGUUGUUGGGUAGGGGAGCGUUCUGUAAGCCUGUGAAGGUGUGCUGUGAGGCAUGCUGGAGGUAUCAGAAGUGCGAAUGCUGACAUAAGUAACGAUAAAGCGGGUGAAAAGCCCGCUCGCCGGAAGACCAAGGGUUCCUGUCCAACGUUAAUCGGGGCAGGGUGAGUCGACCCCUAAGGCGAGGCCGAAAGGCGUAGUCGAUGGGAAACAGGUUAAUAUUCCUGUACUUGGUGUUACUGCGAAGGGGGGACGGAGAAGGCUAUGUUGGCCGGGCGACGGUUGUCCCGGUUUAAGCGUGUAGGCUGGUUUUCCAGGCAAAUCCGGAAAAUCAAGGCUGAGGCGUGAUGACGAGGCACUACGGUGCUGAAGCAACAAAUGCCCUGCUUCCAGGAAAAGCCUCUAAGCAUCAGGUAACAUCAAAUCGUACCCCAAACCGACACAGGUGGUCAGGUAGAGAAUACCAAGGCGCUUGAGAGAACUCGGGUGAAGGAACUAGGCAAAAUGGUGCCGUAACUUCGGGAGAAGGCACGCUGAUAUGUAGGUGAAGUCCCUCGCGGAUGGAGCUGAAAUCAGUCGAAGAUACCAGCUGGCUGCAACUGUUUAUUAAAAACACAGCACUGUGCAAACACGAAAGUGGACGUAUACGGUGUGACGCCUGCCCGGUGCCGGAAGGUUAAUUGAUGGGGUCAGCGCAAGCGAAGCUCUUGAUCGAAGCCCCGGUAAACGGCGGCCGUAACUAUAACGGUCCUAAGGUAGCGAAAUUCCUUGUCGGGUAAGUUCCGACCUGCACGAAUGGCGUAAUGAUGGCCAGGCUGUCUCCACCCGAGACUCAGUGAAAUUGAACUCGCUGUGAAGAUGCAGUGUACCCGCGGCAAGACGGAAAGACCCCGUGAACCUUUACUAUAGCUUGACACUGAACAUUGAGCCUUGAUGUGUAGGAUAGGUGGGAGGCUUUGAAGUGUGGACGCCAGUCUGCAUGGAGCCGGCCUUGAAAUACCACCCUUUAAUGUUUGAUGUUCUAACGUUGACCCGUGAUCCGGGUUGCGGACAGUGUCUGGUGGGUAGUUUGACUGGGGCGGUCUCCUCCUAAAGAGUAACGGAGGAGCACGAAGGUUGGCUAAUCCUGGUCGGACAUCAGGAGGUUAGUGCAAUGGCAUAAGCCAGCUUGACUGCGAGCGUGACGGCGCGAGCAGGUGCGAAAGCAGGUCAUAGUGAUCCGGUGGUUCUGAAUGGAAGGGCCAUCGCUCAACGGAUAAAAGGUACUCCGGGGAUAACAGGCUGAUACCGCCCAAGAGUUCAUAUCGACGGCGGUGUUUGGCACCUCGAUGUCGGCUCAUCACAUCCUGGGGCUGAAGUAGGUCCCAAGGGUAUGGCUGUUCGCCAUUUAAAGUGGUACGCGAGCUGGGUUUAGAACGUCGUGAGACAGUUCGGUCCCUAUCUGCCGUGGGCGCUGGAGAACUGAGGGGGGCUGCUCCUAGUACGAGAGGACCGGAGUGGACGCAUCACUGGUGUUCGGGUUGUCAUGCCAAUGGCACUGCCCGGUAGCUAAAUGCGGAAGAGAUAAGUGCUGAAAGCAUCUAAGCACGAAACUUGCCCCGAGAUGAGUUCUCCCUGACUCCUUGAGAGUCCUGAAGGAACGUUGAAGACGACGACGUUGAUAGGCCGGGUGUGUAAGCGCAGCGAUGCGUUGAGCUAACCGGUACUAAUGAACCGUGAGGCUUAACCUUACAACGCCGAAG
rnacentral:rRNA from 1 species